rnacentral:rRNA from 1 species
AGAAGACGCAACAUUGCCAAGGUUGAAGUCGUAACAAGGUAAGGAGUGGCGACAGGUGACCCCCCUCUGGGAAUCUACGAAUUUCUACGGAACAUCAUGUGGAAACGACUGCUAUACCGUAUACGCCCUACGGGGGAAAGAUUUAUCGGAAUUAGAUGAGCCCGCGUAAGAUUAGCUAGUUGGUGGGGUAAUGGCCUACCAAGGCGACGAUCUUUAGCUGGUCUGAGAGGAUGAUCAGCCACACUGGGACUGAGACACGGCCCAGACUCCUACGGGAGGCAGCAGUGGGGAAUAUUGGACAAUGGGCGCAAGCCUGAUCCAGCCAUGCCGCGUGAGUGAUGAAGGCCUUAGGGUUGUAAAGCUCUUUCACCGAUGAAGAUAAUGACGGUAGUCGGAGAAGAAGCCCCGGCUAACUUCGUGCCAGCAGCCGCGGUAAUACGAAGGGGGCUAGCGUUGUUCGGAUUUACUGGGCGUAAAGCGCACGUAGGCGGUUUGUUAAGUCAGGGGUGAAAUCCCGGAGCUCAACUCCGGAACUGCCUUUGAUACUGGCAAGCUAGAGUCCGGAAGAGGUAAGUGGAACUCCUAGUGUAGAGGUGGAAUUCGCAAAUGUUAGGAGGAACCCAUUGGCUAAGGCGAAUUACUGGGCGAAACUGACACUGAUAGGCGAAGGGCA